rnacentral:rRNA from 1 species
CUAGCUGUAAACGAUGGAUACUAGGCGUUGAGAGUAUCGACCCUCUCAGUGUCGUAGCUAACGCGUUAAGUAUCCCGCCUGGGGAGUACGCGCGCAAGCGUGAAACUCAAAGGAAUUGACGGGGGCCCGCACAAGCGGUGGAGUAUGUGGUUUAAUUCGAUGCAACGCGAAGAACCUUACCAGGGCUUGACAUGUCCGGAACCCUGCCCAAAGGCGGGGGUGCCUACGGGAACCGGAGCACAGGUGGUGC